UGCCGGGUCGUUCAACGGUAGGACACCUGUCUUUGGAGCAGGGUAUUCUAGGUUCGAAUCCUAGCCCGGCAG
rfam:Microgenomates (Gottesmanbacteria) bacterium GW2011_GWA2_47_9 TY16_C0010, whole genome shotgun sequence.